UUACGGUGUCUAAAACCACGUGAACGAUCGUCCUACCAAAUUUACCUGAAGGGGGAAAAAGACGUUAUCAAUAUUUUUGAACAACAAAUUUAUAUGGCUUAGAAUUAUUAUUUAUUGAAAAAGCAUGGACCUUGAUUUAUCCGUAGCAGUGUUUCUGCGGAAGGUAAGACUGUUAUAAGACUGUGAUAUUAUUCAACGGUCGAUGUCUACUAUAUAAACUCCCCUGUUUCCUCGAAGGCCCUUCGCCUUCCCUCGAAAUAUCAAAGUUAGUUUUUCUAUUUUUCAGGUGGUUGUAUUUCAUGUAAAGCUCUGAUGUUAUUUUAUUGUAUUUAGAAGGCAAAUAAGAAGAUAUUUUCAUACGAAUCACGCAUUCUCCGAUUCGAGUUAGCGUUAUCCAUAUUUUAUCGUUCGCCAGAAAUGGACGCCAUGAUUCCCAAAAUUAGUCUUUACGCCAAAAAUUUUAUGCUGCUUGGAAUGUAAGGGCGCGAGUUACGGCGUUUUUGAAAUUUAGGUUUUUGCAGCAGCAAUUCCAGUCAGAUGCAUGGCAUGGGACUGAAAAUAUUCCACUACAGCAACAAAUUCAAGUCAAAUAUAUGUUGACAAAAAACUGCAAUUCCAAAACGUUGUACUCGCGACCUAAAUGGUGUCCAACCAACACGAAACUCGGUAGUUGGUAUAGACUAAAUGUGAGCAUAAAGAUUUCAGUUCUAUGGUCUAUUUUGGUAGAUUGCGAGAUGGAGAAUUGAUGAUGCUAACAACAAUGAUCGGAGAAUUGCUUGUGCAACACAUGUAAUUCUUUGCCAUCCUUUUGUCUCAAGGGUGCUGGUCCAAAUGAGUAAUGGUGCACAGUUUUUAUUCAAUUUUCCCCAUAUACUGAAAGAUUUGUAAAAAUGUAUGUGGAGGAGCUUUGUUUUUCCUAUUAUAAUACUUGUAUUCGACACAUUAUAAUGCCACUGAAGGACAACUUCACAGGAAAUGCUUGUAUAUUGGACUUUGCAAGCUUUCUGUCUAGAAUGGACAGUGAAUAAUAAUUUUUAGCAUGGCACAAUGCAGAAAGUGGGGACAUAAGUCCCGUAACUAACUAUGAGUUAGAAUCUUUUUGAAGAAUUUAAAACAAGGAGGACUUCAAGUUCAAAGAAAGAAAACGGAACUGAAUGGAAUUUAUGAUGAAGUGCUCUACUUUCUGUUGCUUGAAAUGUGUAUAAAUUUUUUGUCAUCCUUUUGUCUCAAGGGUUGGUUGUCCAAAUGAGUAACGGUGCACAGUUUUUAUGCAAUUUUCCCCUAUACUAAAAAUUUUGUAAAAAUUUGUGUACAGGAGCUUGUUUGCCUAUUAUAAUACUUGUAUUCUAAAUAGUUAUCAGAGGCUAAAAUAGUUAUAUUGUGCCAUGGUGAAAAUGAAAAUUAUUAACUGUCCAAAACUGUCUCAUCAUAAUCUGUUCUUAAUUUUAAAUGGAACCCUGUUUAUCAAACCUAUCACAGAUCACUAGUGAUACGUCACGAGAAGUACCCGAAGACUAUCAUAUUUUUCUUGGUUGUAUUCUACAACAUCCUGAUAAUGUUGUAGAUUACAAAACCUCUCUGUUGAUGUCGUAGACUAUGAAAGCUCACACAUAAUUUUUAGGAUUUUAUUUUUAUAUGUCUUUAUACUCUAAAUUUUUUUAGUUAGAUACUUUUUAAUAUUCCUCUAUAAUGGCCUCAUUUGAACCCAAACACGACACAUUAUUACAAUGCUACUGAAGGAUAACUUCAUACAAAACACUUGUAUAUUGGACUUGGCAAGCUUUCCAUCUAGAAUGGACAGUGAUGAUAAUUUUUAGCAUGGCACAAUGCAGAAAGUGGGAACAUAAAUAUUUCUGCCUUUCUGCAAGUUGAAACUAAGUUUAAAACAGCAGAGGCCCAUAACUAGCUAUGAGUAAGAAUUUUUUUUAAAAUUUAAAACAGGGAGAACUUCAAGUUCAAAGAAUGUAAAUGGAUACUGAAUGGAAUUUAUUUAUUUCUGAUGAAGUGCUCUACUUCCUGCUGCUUGAAACGUCAAUAUUUUGUGGGUAACCUAAGUAUCUCAGUAACAGAAUGUGGG
rnacentral:lncRNA from 1 species